UGGGGAAUAUUGGACAAUGGGCGAAAGCCUGAUCCAGCAAUGCCGCGUGAGUGAUGAAGGCCUUAGGGUUGUAAAGCUCUUUUACCCGGGAUGAUAAUGACAGUACCGGGAGAAUAAGCUCCGGCUAACUCCGUGCCAGCAGCCGCGGUAAUACGGAGGGAGCUAGCGUUGUUCGGAAUUACUGGGCGUAAAGCGCACGUAGGCGGCUUUGUAAGUCAGAGGUGAAAGCCUGGAGCUCAACUCCAGAACUGCCUUUGAGACUGCAUGGCUUGAAUCCAGGAGAGGUGAGUGGAAUUCCGAGUGUAGAGGUGAAAUUCGUAGAUAUUCGGAAGAACACCAGUGGCGAAGGCGGCUCACUGGACUGGUAUUGACGCUGAGGUGCGAAAGCGUGGGGAGCAAACA
rnacentral:rRNA from 1 species